UUCUUCCUAUAGUUUUGUUUGUGUCUUAAUUUGCUGCUUUGCGUGUUAUUGAUGAAGAACAUGCAUGCUGAAGCUUUGUCAUCAGGAUAAUGGCUAGGACAAAAUAGAAAACCACAACUAAAGCUAGAAAAAAGAGAGGGAGAUGAAAACGUGAUGUACAUGUAUGUAAAAGUAAAAGCCACUGUGUGAUAAUCACAAUGAUGGUGAGACUAAAGCUCUCAUAUUGUGUGACAUGUGUCCAUGCAACUGUGUACUUCAUUAUCACAAUAAGAAUCAUCACCACAAUAGACAAAUGGAGAAUGACUGAACAUAAUUAUGACAGCUAGUGUCCAUCAGGUAUAGACAAUCUAAGAGCUGAUGCAACUCUGUCAAGAUCACGAGUAGAGUACACUUCUAAGGCCAUAUCCAUAAACAUAUUCUAAUUAGGCGAGCCAUUCUCAGCCCCGCCCGCCUACUCAUUCUCCCCCCUGUAGAGGGAUCAUGAAUUAUAAUUAAUGAAUGUGUAGUAAUGCUAAAGAACUAAUAGUGUACAUUGUAUAUAAUAACUGUUACAUAAUGUAUGAUAUAAAUAAGUGACACCCACACACACAUGUUCUAAUUUUGGUUGAUGGUCUUUCCUUUGUUGAACCUUGGAGUAAUAGAUCUUUGUUCAUUACUAUAAUACCCAUAGUAGUCGUUACUACAUUUGGCACAGUGAGCAGGAUUCAAACCUGCGCGG